AACGAACGCUGGCUGCAGGCUUAACACAUGCAAGUCGAGCGCCCCGCAAGGGGAGCGGCAGACGGGUGAGUAACGCGUGGGAAUCUCCCGUGCCCUACGGAAUAGCUCCGGGAAACUGGAAUUAAUACCGUAUACGCCCUACGGGGGAAACAUUUCUCGGGGUAUGAUGAGCCCGCGUUGGAUUAGCUAGUUGGUGGGGUAAAGGCCUACCACGGCGACGAUCCAUAGCUGGUCUGUGAGGAUGAUCAGCCACAUUGGGACUGUGACACGGCCCAAGCUCCUACGGGAGGAAGCAUUGGUGAAUAUUGGACAAUGGGCGCAAGCCUGAUCCAGUCAUGCUGCGUGAGUGAUGAAGGUCUUAGGAUUGUAAAGCUCUGUCACCGGUGGAGAUACUGACGGUAACCAGAGAAGAAGCCCCGGCUAACUUCGUGCCAGCCGCCGCCGUAAUAC
rnacentral:rRNA from 1 species